rnacentral:rRNA from 1 species
UACGGAGGGGGCUAGCGUUGUUCGGAAAUACUGGGCGUAAAGCGAACGUAGGCGGCUUGGCAAGUCAGGGGUGAAAUCCCAGUGCUCAACACUGGAACUGCCUUUGAAACUGCCAGGCUUGAAUCCUGGAGAGGCGAGUGGAAUUCCGAGUGUAGAGGUGAAAUUCGUAGAUAUUCGCAAGAACACCAGUGGCGAAGGCGGCUCACUGGCCCGGUACUGACGCUGAGACGGCGAAAGCGUGGGGAGCAAACAGG